rnacentral:rRNA from 1 species
CUUUACCUUGAGCAAAUGAGAGUGUUCCAGGCAGGCUUGGGCCUGAAUCGUCCAGCAUGGAAUAAUAGAAGAGGACUGGGCUCCAUUUAUUGGUGUUAUGGCGCUUAGUAAUGAUUAAUAGGGAUAGUUGGGGGCAUUUGUAUUUAAUUGUCAGAGGUGAAAUUCUAUGAUUUAUUAAAGACAAACUUAUGCGAAAGCAUUUGCCAAGGAUGUUUUCAUUAAUCAAGAACGAAAGUUAAGGGAUCAAAGACGAUCAGAUACCGUCGUAGUCUUAACCAUAAACUAUGCCGACUAGAGAUUGGAGGUGCCAUUAA